rnacentral:rRNA from 1 species
AUUGAACGCUGGCGGCAGGCCUAACACAUGCAAGUCGAGCGGAUGAAGGGAGCUUGCUCCUGGAUUCAGCGGCGGACGGGUGAGUAAUGCCUAGGAAUCUGCCUGGUAGUGGGGGAUAACGUCCGGAAACGGGCGCUAAUACCGCAUACGUCCUGAGGGAGAAAGUGGGGGAUCUUCGGACCUCACGCUCUCAGAUGAGCCUAGGUCGGAUUAGCUAGUUGGUGGGGUAAAGGCCUACCAAGGCGACGAUCCGUAACUGGUCUGAGAGGAUGAUCAGUCACACUGGAACUGAGACACGGUCCAGACUCCUACGGGAGGCAGCAGUGGGGAAUAUUGGACAAUGGGCGAAAGCCUGAUCCAGCCAUGCCGCGUGUGUGAAGAAGGUCUUCGGAUUGUAAAGCACUUUAAGUUGGGAAGAAGGGCAGUAAGUUAAUACCUUGCUGUUUUGACGUUACCAACAGAAUAAGCACCGGCUAACUUCGUG